CCUGGGUUGUGGUCCUUUGAGAUGUUUUCUAACGUCACUGUGGUUGACCCUGCAACUGCUCAGAGCGAUGGUUGUGGAUGCAAGUUCUCAACUUCUACAGUCUCUUUCUGGUCACAACCGGAAUCUAGUGACUGAAAUCAGAAGAAUUUCACCUACUCCUAAGUGUGGGCAAGACUGGAAAAAAUGUAUAUCAAUCAUCAAGAGUCAAAAACUCGGCUUCAACAAUAUGUCGCUGAAACCACUCCUGGCUGCUAUCAAGAGUAAGAAAUACCGUCCUGAGACAGAUGUCUGUUUCCUCUGCCAGGCUGGUGUGGAAGCCGACCCGUGUUUCCUCCCCCAUCUGAAUGCUGGGGAAGCAGCAAGGAGGUAUCAAGCAUUCUGCCUAAAACAUGUUUUCUCACCCCAGUGCUCUUGCCACUUCCAACGUCUUUAAAAAUAACAGCAAAAUGGCUCUGGAAGUAGAUGGCAUUCAUGUGAGGAAGGAGAGUGUUAGAGUGUCAGAGUGCUCACGCAUCGCUUCAGAAUUCUCUUGACCCCUCACCUCCUACUGAAAUCACUGCUGGUGUUUUGUACAGGUAUGGUGAAAUAGGGCCUGACCCCAGGCCCACACUGCAUAGCCUUCCCUUCC